UGCCCAGCAACUCCUAUCCCUACCUCCUCGUGGUACCGACCGGAAACUAUGAGCAACCUUUGGAAAGAUCGGGUAACCAACCCCUGUAGGAACUGUGGUCGUAGGCUGACAGAGAAGG
rfam:Aedes albopictus isolate Foshan contig43369, whole genome shotgun sequence.